GGUAGAGCUGAAUAACAUAAAAAUAGUGGGAGAAAACAACAUUUUAAUAUAUUUCACAACACACUGUUAAACAUUACAUCAGGUCCCUAAUUUAACCACAAGAGGGUGCUGUUAUAUGUAAAAACGGAAUAAAACAACAGGCUACCAAUGUGUACUAUGUUGGCAGUUCAUUAGGUACACCUAGCUGAAACUAAGUUGAACAGAAACAGCUCUCAGUGUAAUGUAAUGCAGUUCAGCAGCACAACAAAGUGCAUUCUCCAAAAACUGAAUCAACACCUCUCAAUUUCGGUAAAAACUGAACAGGACUGUUGUAUCUGACUGCAGUAGUUUCAGGUGUAUGUAUGUGCAACAGAAACUUCCUCUCAUUUUGUACGUGUAAAGUUUAGAUUGCUGUAAGAUCAGACUGAACUGGAAACACGGUUCUCUUGUAUGUGCUUUACAGAUGUUCAGGUGGUGUAAAGACACCAAAACCAUAAUACUUCCACCACCUGCUGUGUUCUCAAAUAGGAGAACCACAGAACAAUGGCACAAUAAAUGGAUGAAUAAAUAACUGUGCUGUGCGUAAUAUAAUUUUGCUGACAGUUAUUGCUCUUUAUCUCCAUUGGGUCUCCAAUGAAGAAAUUGUAACUUUCCCCUAAACAGUGGCUUGAUCAACCCCCUGAGGGUCCCCGGGGCUAAAGUCUGUUGUUGGUUCCCUUCUGAUGCACACUAUACAUGGCAAUGCUUUUCAUUCCCCAAAACGUGGUGGACUUUAUCGACUCCUGGUCAAUUUUAUGUAAAUUCGAGCUGUGACGUUUUUAGGCACGUGGUUUUAAUUAGUAUUGAUUAAACUGCACAUUUUGUUUGUGGCUCGAGACUGUCUUCAAACGGCAAGGAUUAGUUCGUGUCUUCAGGUUGCGGUCCUGGAACUGGGCCAAGCAGACUAAUCUGUGUUAGUUCUUUUGUCUGGAUAUAAUAAAACAGGCAUGGAGUUGCUACAUAGGGACUACAAGCCCAGCUCAUCAUCCACAGGGACAGACUGGAGCUGAGUAAGAAUCUUGGAGUCCCCAUCCAUGUCCUCUGGAUUCCCCAGUGGUGAGCUGGCUUCCACAUCCUGC